AUCCAGCUGAUGAGUCCUAAAUAGGACUAAACACGCGUUCUGCAA
rnacentral:hammerhead_ribozyme from 1 species